CGGAAGGUGGUAGUCGCUUCCCACAUGUUAUUGGGGUUGUGGAUGGCACACAUGUUGCUAUUCAGCCACCAAGACAUAAUGAAGAAAUUUAUAGAAACAGGAAACUGUUUCAUUCUCUGAAUGUAAUGGUUGUUUGUGGGCCAUCCCUCCAGAUCCUUUCCCUGAAUGCAAAGUUUACUGGAAGUUCCCAUGAUGCAUAUGUCAUUAGACAAUCAGGGAUAUGGCAGAGAUUAAGAUCAAGUCAACGAGCAGACAUGUGGUUAUUGGGAGACCGUGGAUAUCCUUGCACCCCCUGGCUCAUGACUCCUUACCGUAAUCCCAGGCCAGGACCACAGAUGGCAUUUAACUCCGCGCUUACUGCCACUAGGCAGCUGGUGGAGCGCACAAUUGGUGUCCUUAAAGGGCGGUUUCGUGUGCUCCACCGCACUGGUGGCGACAUCAUGUAUUCGCCGGAGAUGGCAAGUAAAAUAGUGGUCCUGUGCGCAAUACUACAUAAUAUCGCGGUAAGGAGUAGUGUAGAGCUUCCUCAGGCAGAGGAAUUGCCUGAUGAGGAGCCAGGGGUUGGUCCACGCUUCGGUGGGGGGAGUGUGACACGGAGGGGGAGCCAAGUGAGGGCAAGAAUUGUUGCAGAAUAUUUCAGCUGAAUGAUCACACGAACUGUGGACAACAACAACGGCAAAACUCCCCACCCCCUUCCCCUUCUCACUCCCCCUCCCCUUCUCACUCCCCCUCCCCUUCUCACUCCCCCUCCCCUUCACAGUCCCCCUCAG